rnacentral:rRNA from 1 species
UACGGAGGGUGCAAGCGUUGUCCGGAAUCACUGGGCGUAAAGGGCGCGUAGGCGGCUCAUGAAGGCUGUGGUGAAAGUCCGGGGCUCAACCUCGGAUCGGCCGUGGCGACUCGUGGGCUGGAGCACUGUAGAGGCGGGUGGAAUUCCGGGGUGUAGCGGUGGAAUGCGUAGAGAUGUGGAGGAACACCAGUGGCGAAGGCGACUUUCUGGCCUAUAACUGACGCUGAGGCGCGAAAGCGUGGGGGAGCAAACAGG